AUGAACGCUGGCGGCGUGCUUAACACAUGCAAGUCGAACGGGAAACCUUUUAUUGAAGCUUCGGCAGAUUUAGCUGGUUUCUAGUGGCGGACGGGUGAGUAACGCGUGGGUAACCUGCCUUAUACAGGGGGAUAACAGUCAGAAAUGGCUGCUAAUACCGCAUAAGCGCACAGAGCUGCAUGGCUCAGUGUGAAAAACUCCGGUGGUAUAAGAUGGAACCGCGUUGGAUUAGCUGGUUGGUGGGGUAACGGCCCACCAAGGCGACGAUCCAUAGCCGGCCUGAGAGGGUGAACGGCCACAUUGGGACUGAGACACGGCCCAGACUCCUACGGGAGGCAGCAGUGGGGAAUAUUGCACAAUGGGGGAAACCCUGAUGCAGCGACGCCGCGUGAAGGAAGAAGUAUCUCGGUAUGUAAACUUCUAUCAGCAGGGAAGAUAAUGACGGUACCUGACUAAGAAGCCCCGGCUAACUACGUG
rnacentral:rRNA from 1 species